CCUCCAUAUCUGACUCCAUCAAGUAGAUCGGCUGCUCUCUCCUCUCUCUCUCCUCCUUCAGAUCGGAUUCUAGGGCUCGGGUUUUCACUGUUCUCCCUCGAAGCUGGUCGUUCACUCCUCCCUCGAAGUCGUCCCUCGAAGCUCGUCGCCGACUCCUCCCUCGAAGCUCGUGGCCGACUCCUCCCUCGAAGCUCGUCGUCGACUCCUCCCUCGAAGCUCGUCGUCGACUCCUCCCUCAAAGCUCGUCGUCCCUCGAAGAUCGUCGUUUACUCCUCCCUCGACGGUCUUCCCUCUCGAGUCAUCAAAAUAUAAUUUUGCACAAAAUCUGAUCUCAUCCCUUGCGGAUCUGUAAUUUCAAUCAGCUUCGUUUAAUUAUCAGAGGAGCUUUUUUUUUCCUUCAUGAUUUCAUCACCUUGAAGAAUUCACGAAACCUCAAGUCAAGUCGACAUGAGCUCCUCUCUUCAAGUUUUGGUAAAUCAUGAAUAGCUCCGGGGCUUUAGAAACAACUGCAAUGUUCCCUAGCGUGAAGUUGUUCAAGAAAUUUAGUCACACUCUUAAGCAUGGGAUUAAAGGAUUCGUGCAUUUGAAUAUAAGCAGUUCAGGGUUAAAAUCAGUUCCCCCUUUGCGUGAUACCUCACAUUUUGCAAGCAGACGAUUUUCUUCCUCUUCUGAAGAAGUAGUGAUUGCUUUAGGUAGCAAUGUGGGCAACAGAGUCCAGAAUUUUAACAUGGCUUUGAACUUGAUGAAGAAUUCAGGCAUAAACAUCACAAGACAUGGGUGCUUGUAUGAGACAGAACCUGCUUAUGUUACCGACCAGCCGUUGUUUUUAAAUUCAGCAGUUAGGGGAACCACUAAACUUGCGCCUCAUGAAUUGUUGGUAGUACUAAAGCGAAUAGAGAAAAAGUUAGGUCGGACUGAGGGGAUAAGGUAUGGCCCGAGACUGAUUGAUUUAGAUAUUCUUUUCUACGGUAAAGUAAAGGUCGAAUCUGAAUCUCUUAACAUCCCACAUGAGCGCAUAUGGGAGAGACCAUUUGUAGUUGCUCCACUUGUGGACCUAUUGGGCUCAUCUAUGGAUGAUGCAAUUGAACAAAAUUGGCAUUUGUUGUCUAGAAACAACGGUGGGCUAUUUGGAGUAUGGGAGAAGCUUGGAGGAGAAAACUUGGUUAGAAGGAAAGAGAUGAGAAGAGUUUUACCGAUAGGAAAUCACUUAUGGGAUUGGUCAGAAAGAACCCAUGUCAUGGGUGUCCUCAAUCUUACUCCAGAUAGUUUUAGCGACGGAGGGAAGUUUCAAGAUGUGGAAGCUGCAGUUUCUCAUGUUAAGCAGUUGAUUUCACAAGGAGCAGAUAUUAUUGAUAUCGGUGCCCAGUCCACCCGGCCAUUUGCACGCAGGAUAUCUGCAGAUGAGGAGCUUGAGAGGUUGAUUCCUAUGCUUGAUGCAAUUUUAAAAAUUCCCGAGAUAGAGGGGAAGCUAUUAUCAGUGGAUACUUUUUAUGCAAAAGUUGCAUCGGAGGCUGUGAAGAAAGGGGCUCAUAUUGUAAAUGAUGUCUCUGGUGGGCAGCUUGAUCCUGAAAUUCUCGCUGCAGUUGGAAGUCUUGGAGUCCCCUACAUUACUAUGCACAUGAGGGGAGAUCCAUCUACAAUGCAAAGUGAUGAGAAUUUGCAAUAUGAUGAUGUUUGCAGACAAGUAGCUUCUGAGCUAUGCUCACGUGUGAAGGAUGCUGAGCUUUCUGGAAUUCCUUCAUGGAGGAUUAUUAUUGAUCCUGGUAUUGGAUUUUCAAAGAACACUAAACAGAACUUGCAACUUCUCAUGGGUCUAGAAUCCAUCAGGAGACAAAUUGGGGAAAAGAAUGUGGCUGCUUCACAUGCUCCAUUGUUAGUUGGUCCCUCAAGAAAAAGAUUUUUGGGUGAGAUCUGCAAUCGAAGUAAUCCAAUUGAGAGGGAUCCUGCCACAGUUGCAGCGGUUACGAUCGGAAUUCUCGACGGUGCUAAUAUCAUAAGGGUCCAUAAUGUUAGAGAUUGUCUUGAUGCUGCCAAAGUGUGUGAUGCAUUGAUUAAGCAAAGAGAACGUCGCCUUUUACCUGACCGGCAAAGAGUAACUUCAAAACCUUGAACUAUGGUGCGUGGAGACUUUCAUCUGCAAAGCGAUGUUGCAUUCUCUGCACAGCUUGCGUACAGCCCAUCAUUUUGACGAUAGGGGAUGAUUUCGUUCAUAAUAAAGGAAGAGUCAUAGUAGAGAUGAUUAAAACAUGGCCCCUUAUCAUCGAAGCACGACUAAAAGUUCCUUUUAUGGUAUAUUAUGUGUUACUAUCUUAUAUUAAACCAACCACCUGGUCACAUUAAUAAUACAUGCACAGACUUUUUAUUACAGGCAUAUCUUUAUUUACUAAAUCUUUGAUCAACUUGACCAUUCCACAGACAGCCACGUUGCGAAACAGCAUAUAUUUAUCACAAAGUAUCUUAUAUUACACCAUGAUGAACAAGUGGAUAUAUCACAAAGUAUCUCAUAUUACAAUAUGAUGGGCGAGCGGAUACAACAUGUCUCGACAGAUAUUCAAGUGAAAGGAGCAUGUCAUCCACUCAUAAGCCACAAGUUUGAAGGAUGGUGCGAGACUAUACAGUACUACAUGGCUACCACUGUUGGAUGAGCUUACAAACAAGUAGCAAAAUGACUCCUGUUGGUAUCGCAGUGAGAAACUUUUUUGUAGUGCCGAAAGAAAUAUGGAUAUUGUACGUUAGUUGUAUGUUAGCUGGUAGUUCCAUGAAACACGAAAACUGUUUGUUUUGUAAACUUCUGUAUGUACAAGUUUCAGCAAUGUAAUCUUUGUAAAUAUAUACUA